rnacentral:rRNA from 1 species
AUAAGCAAUGAUUUAGUUGACGUUACAAACAGAAAGGGACGCUAAAUACGUGCAGCAGCGCGGUUAAUACGUAUGUCCGAGCGUAUCCGGAUUAUUGGGCGUAAAGCGAGCGCAGACGGUUUAUAAGUCUGAUGUGAAAGCUCAGGAGCUCAACUCCGGAAUGGCAUUGGAAACUGGUUAACUUGAGUGCAGUAGAGGUAAGUGGAACUCCAUGUGUAGCGGUGGAAUGCGUAGAUAUAUGGAAGAACAUCAGUGGCGAAGGCGGCUUACUGGACUGCAACUGACGUUGAGGCUCGAAAGUGUGGGUAGCAAACAGGAUUAGAUACCCUGGUAGUCCACACCGUAAACGAUGAACACUAGGUGUUAGGAGGUUUCCGCCUCUUAGUGCCGAAGCUAACGCAUUAAGUGUUCCGCCUGGGGAGUACGACCGCAAGGUUGAAACUCAAAGGAAUUGACGGGGACCCGCACAAGCGGUGGAGCAUGUGGUUUAAUUCGAAGCAACGCGAAGAACCUUACCAGGUCUUGACAUCCUUUGAAGCUUUUAGAGAUAGAAGUGUUCUCUUCGGAGACAAAGUGACAGGUGGUGCAUGGUCGUCGUCAGCUCGUGUCGUGAGAUGUUGGGUUAAGUCCCGCAACGAGCGCAACCCUUAUUGUUAGUUGCCAGCAUUCAGAUGGGCACUCUAGCGAGACUGCCGGUGACAAACCGGAGGAAGGCGGGGACGACGUCAGAUCAUCAUGCCCCUUAUGACCUGGGCUACACACGUGCUACAAUGGCGUAUACAACGAGUUGCCAACCCGCGAGGGUGAGCUAAUCUCUUAAAGUACGUCUCAGUUCGGAUUGUAGUCUGCAACUCGACUACAUGAAGUCGGAAUCGCUAGUAAUCGCGGAUCAGCACGCCGCGGUGAAUACGUUCCCGGGUCUUGUACACACCGCCCGUCACACCAUGGGAGUUUGUAAUGCCCAAAGCCGGUGGCCUAACCUUUUUGAAGAGAAUAAACGUGUGCAUUUGAAAAU